rnacentral:rRNA from 1 species
UACGGAGGGGGUUAGCGUUGUUCGGAAUUACUGGGCGUAAAGCGCGUGUAGGCGGAUCACAAAGUUGGGGGUUAAAUCCCGGGGCUCAACCCCGGAACUGCCUCCAAAACUCCUGGUCUUGAGUUCGAGAGAGGUGAGUGGAAUUCCGAGUGUAGAGGUGAAAUUCGUAGAUAUUCGGAGGAACCCCAGUGGCGAAGGCGGCUCACUGGCUCGAUACUGACGCUGAGGUGCGAAAGUGUGGGGAGCAAUCAGG